GGCAGAGAAAGGUACAUAAAGCAUGAGGAGACAGGAACUAAAGCCUUUUCAGCUGAGGAAGCUCAUUUGGCUAGAGGCAUAUUGGCUGAGGCUUUUAAGGCUGGGGAGUCCUAGAGGUAAGAGGUGGCUUGAGCCGGAGGGUGGUAGCACACGCCUUUAAU